GACGAACGCUGGCGGCGUGCUUAACACAUGCAAGUCGAGCGGAGCGGCGAACGGGUGAGUAACGCGGGAGUAACUGCCCCCCUCUCGGGGAUAACAGUUGGAAAAGGCUGAUAAUACCGGAUAGUGGGGGAUGACUCGCGUCCUAUCAGCUUGUUGGUGGGGUAGUGGCCUGCCAAGGCGACGACUGGUAGACGGCCGGAGAGGGCGACCGGCCACAUUGGGCUGAGAGACGGCCCUAACGCCGAUGGGAGGCUGCAGGGGGGAAUAUUGCACAAUGGGGGAAACCCUGAUGCAGCAACGCGCGUGCGGGAUGACGUCCGUCGGGUUGUAAACCGCUUUCAGCCAUGACGCGGUAGUGGCAGAAGAAGCACCGGCUAACUACGUGCCAGCAGCCGCGGUAAUUC
rnacentral:rRNA from 1 species